UACGUAGGGGGCAAGCGUUGUCCGGAAUCAUUGGGCGUAAAGAGCGUGUAGGCGGCCCGAUAAGUCCGCUGUGAAAGUCACAGGCUCAACCUGUGAAUGCCGCUGGAAACUGUCUGGCUAGAGUCCGGGAGGGGCGAGUGGAAUUCCUGGUGUAGCGGUGAAAUGCGCAGAUAUCAGGAGGAACACCAAUGGCGAAGGCAGCUCGCUGGAACGGUACUGACGCUGAGGCGACGAAAGCGUGGGGAGCAAACAGG
rnacentral:rRNA from 1 species